CGCGCCUUCGGGCUGGGCCCGUCCAUCUUCCCCUCGCGCCGAGGCUCCUUUCCGAUCCGGUUGGCGGCGCAGUUGUCUGGGGCUCCUGGGCCUCGCGUCCUGAGGGAGACUUGGAGGAGAGCGGCGAGCGGAGCACGACCCUGAGUUCCCGUCACGCUCCGCCCCACCCGGGAAGCCCGAGGUUCUGGGCACGAGGCCGUCACCGCGGGGGGCGGGGGGGGAGGCGGGAAGGCGCCAGGAGGGCGGCGCCCCUGGUCCUCCGGCCCCACGGCGGGACCGCGCGCCUCCGCGCCCUGAGGGCCGCAGGCAGUUGCCCACGCGAUGUGGUAAGUCGUCUCCCUCCCGCCGGUUCCGGGGCUCGGGGAGCGAGGACGGCCGGCCGCCUGCACUGUUGCCGCCUGGACGCCGGGUCUCGUGGCCCCGCGGAGCCUCCAUCCGGAUCGCUUGGUCCAUGGUUCCUGCUCGUGGAGACGCCGCGGGAAGGCUUCGGCCUGGGAAUUCAACCGCACUCCGGAGGGUGGACGCCGUGCCCCAGGGGCAAGGCCUUGGCAAACCCUCCCGGGCGAGCAGCUGCUCCUGAGGAACGAGGCGCCAGCCGGGCCGAACCUGCUGCUCCGCUGAUGUGACGUGGCCCCUGGUCUGCUGCGGUGCCUGUGCGACCUCACACCAGGGGACACAGCACCCUCGGAGCCCCUGACGGUGUGGCCCCGAGCUCCGCUGCGGUGCCUGUGCGACCUCACACCAGGGGAGGGAACACCUCGGAGCCCUUGACGGUGUGGCCCCGAGCUCUGCUGCGAUGCCUGUUCGACCUCACACCAGGGGACACAACAGUCUCGGAGCCCCUGAUGGAAGUGGCCCCCGUGCUCCCCUGUGGUGCCCUGUGCGACCUCACACCAGGGGAGGGAACACCUCGGAGCCGUGACGGUGUGGCCCCGAGCUCUGCUGCGGUGCCUGUGCGACCUCACACCAGGGGACACAGCACCCUCGGAGCCCCUGACGGUGUGGCCCCGUGCUCCCCUGCGGUGCCUGUGCGACCUCACACCAGGGGAGGGAACACCUCGGAGCCCUUGACGGUGUGGCCCCGAGCUCUGCUGCGGUGCCUGUUCGACCUCACACCAGGGGACACAACAGUCUCGGAGCCCUUGAUGGAAGUGGCCCCAAGCUCUGCUGCGGUGCCUGUGCGACCUCACGCCAUGGGACGGAACACCCUCGGAGCCCUUGAGGGUGUGGCCUCGUGCUCCCUUGCGGUGCCUGUUCGACCUCACACCAGGGGACACAGCACCCUUGGAGCCCUUGAUGGAAGUGGCCCCGAGUUCUGCGGUGCCCUGUGCGAUCUCACACCAGGGGACAGAACACCCUCAGAGCCCUUGACGGAAGUGGCCCCGUGUUCUGCUGCGGUGCCCUGUGCGACCUCACACCAGCGGACACAACACUCUCGGAGCCCUUGGUGUGGCCCGGGACCUGCAGCUGGGAAGGGCAAGCCUGUCCUCAGAAUAUGUGGCUUUCCCAGGAUCCAAGCAGGAUCCAGGCAGCCCAGUUGA
rnacentral:lncRNA from 12 species